GCAGUUUCGUGGUCUAGCGGUUAUGAUUUUCCGUUAACAAUUGCUUUACAAGCGAGAGUUCCGGAAAGGUUCUGGGUUCGAUUCCCAGCGAAACUAUA
rnacentral:tRNA from 1 species